rnacentral:lncRNA from 1 species
UUCCCAAAGCUGAAGGCCCUGCUGUGGAGUGGCUGCAGCAGUGUUAAAGACGGAAACGUUGCUGUGUUUCAGUUUUAGGCAAUCUUCUGCUUUCUAUUUCCACUAUCACAAAGCAUUUUGCAUUCACAAAACAUCUUUUCCUUUUUAAAAGCUGCAAGUAGGCUUCUUGGAUGAGGAAAGAAUCAUUUUGUAUUAGUAGGAACCACAAACGCAAUUGCUGGAAAAAUCAAUGUAGCCUUUGCUUUGGAGCACCUGGUGCCACACUAUGCAUGUUACCUACAUACAUGUGCAGAUGAAGUAGAAAAAUGAGCAGCCUAAGACAGGCUCUUUUUGUUCAAUAGUUGCAGGCAGAGGAAUGAUCACAGAUGGAAAAAAAUCACCCUGCUCAGCUGUAGAGUCAGGCUGCAAUGUGAAAAUGUAAGCAUGAAUCAGAAGGUACCAUCAGCAGGCAGGAGCAUCUCUCCUCCUCUGUGGAGGACUCAGGUGUAGGCACGCUGCUAAUGGAAGGGCUCUUUCCCUGAUGGUUUCUGCAGUGACACCUUUCCUUCUGGGAAGCACCUGGGGCUUCUCUGUGCCUGCAUGCAAACCCUGCUGCCUCAGGAAGAGGAGGUCUGCUCUUCCUCCCCAGCUGCCUCUCCCCGGAGGGGUUUCCCCACCAUGAUCUCAUGGAGCAAUAAUGGGAAAAGUCAUCAGAGAUGUGAAACUGCUCAUGAGUUGUGGUUGCAGAAAAGGGAAAAAUGCUCAAGUGAAAGACUCGGAUCAGAGCCAGAUGAAGACUUUGGGAAGAGAGUGUGGGUUCCCUGUGCAGAGUCCAGUGACGAAAUCUGUGAACAAGGUAAGAGCAAGGGGUUGUGGCUGUGAAGGGUUUUCUUGCUUCCUUUUCCCCUUCCAAACCCGUUAUCGAAGCGUUAGACAUGAAAUGUAGGAUGUGUGUAGCACAGGAACUGAUAUUCCAAGUGCUAAGUGAAAGAGCCUAAAAAGAUCAAGCUAAAUAGGGCUUCUUUUUAAUGCAUUCCAUUAUGGUGGUUUGGGUUUUAGAACAGUUUGUAUUGUAUCCAAAUGAUCUACAUGUGAAUAAUUGUUACCAGCCUCCUGACACCAGGACCUAAUUAGGAAGUAAGAGCCUUAAAUAGGCCAUUUGCA